GCCAUUUAUUGACCAUUUAUUUGUUGAUAUACAUUAAUUCUUAAAGUAGGACUUAGAUUUUUAUAUUCAAAGAUUGUAUAGCAUUAUUGAGUAAAUGCACUUCUUUUUUUCUGUUGUAGAAUGCAAAUGUAUUUAACAACCUGACUGAGUUACAGCAGAAGAAAAGGAAAAUUUCAGGCCCACAGGCCGAUAUCGCACCCUGCAGCUGAUCCUCCAGGAGUAAAGGUGAUAGAAGCCUCUGAUCCUCCUAAUUGCACCACAAAUUUUGAAAAGAAAAAUAUUAAGGUAAAAGUGUCCCUGUUGUAGACCAUUGCUGAAAUAUGUCUGAGAACAAAUUGUAGAUAACCUAACAGUAUCAGUUUUAUUGUAGUUCUGUUUUAUAAAAAACAUGAAAAAAGCAAAAAUCUAUGGAAGCUGUGUCAG
rnacentral:lncRNA from 1 species